rnacentral:rRNA from 1 species
CACGUAGGGCGCAAGCGUUGUCCGGAAUUAUUGGGCGUAAAGAGCUCGUAGGCGGUCUGUUGCGUCUGCUGUGAAAACCCGGGGCUUAACCCCUGGCUUGCAGUGGAUACGGACAGACUAGAGGUAGGUAGGGGAGAAUGGAAUUCCUGGUGUAGCGGUGGAAUGCGUAGAUAUUGGAAAGACCACCGAUGGCGAAGGCACUCUACUGGGCCAUUACUGACACUGAGAGACGAAAGCUAGGGGAGCGAAUGGG